GCUGGGGUAGCUCAAGUGGUAGAGCAUGAGACUCUUAAUCUCAAGGUCAUGGGUUCAAGCUCCAUGUUGGGGA